GACGAACGCUGGCGGCGUGCUUAACACAUGCAAGUGGAGCGACGAACCGGGGCUUGCCCCGGGGCAGAGCCGCGAACGGGUGAGUAACACGUGGGUAACCCACCCCGAUGACCGGGACAACCCGAGGAAACUCGGGCUAAUACCGGAUGUGCUCCUUGACCCCGAGGUCAAGGCGUAAAGAUAGCUUCGGCCUUCGCAUCGGGACGGGCCCGCGGCCCAUUAGCUUGUUGGUGGGGUAACGGCCUACCAAGGCGACGANGGGUAGCUGGUCUGAGAGGACGAUCAGCCACACUGGGACUGAGACACGGCCCAGCCUCCUACGGGAGGCAGCAGUGGGGAAUCUUGCGCAAUGCGCGAAAGCGUGACGCAGCAACGCCGCGUGGGGGAAGACGGCCUGGUGUAAG
rnacentral:rRNA from 1 species